rnacentral:rRNA from 1 species
UACGUAGGUGGCAAGCGUUGUCCGGAUUUAUUGGGCGUAAAGCGCGCGCAGGCGGUUCGAAAAGUCCAUGGUGAAAGCGCCUGGCUCAACUGGGCGAGUGCCGUGGGGACUGUCGAGCUGGAGGGAAGCAGAGGCGAGUGGAAUUCCGGGUGUAGUGGUGAAAUGCGUAGAGAUCCGGAAGAACACCGGUGGCGAAGGCGGCCUGCUGGGCCGGAGGUGUAGCGAAUACACCGUUAGCUGACGCUGAGGCGGCGAACAGCGUGGGGAGCAAACGAGG